CGACAACUUAAUCGAAAAGAUAAUAUCUUACACUUGAUAGAUAAAAGGAUGUCUCCAUGUUUUUUACAUAUUCAGUCUCUCCGAAAGAGAGUGUUCUUAUCAAUCCCCUCCUAAAGCUACAAGUGAAAGCUCUAUUACAGUUCCAGGAGAGGCUUUCACGACGAUUUAGCCUCCUCUGCAGAUGACCCUCCUAGCAGCUUCCAAACAGACAGCUGUCCUGUAGCAUCACCAGUGAAAAACAGGUCACCACAACCUACGGCAAUGGCCUCUAUUACAGUUCCAGGAGAGGCUUUCACGACGAUUUAGCCCUCCUCUGCAGAUGACCCUCCAAGCAGCUUCCAAACAGAUAACUGUCCUGUAGCAUCACCAGUGAAAAACAGGUCACCACAACCUACGGCAAUGGCCUCAACUUCUCUCUUAGCAAAUACUCUGCCUCUUUCAGAAAAUCUGUAGAAGUUCAAAACAAUGAAUCCAUUUAUCAGAUGAAGGAACAUCAACAAAAUCUUUCCACCCAAAAAAAACAAAUAAAUCAAGAAUCUAUGAACGUGACGACACUCACGAUGGCAG
rnacentral:lncRNA from 1 species